rnacentral:rRNA from 1 species
AUUGAACGCUGGCGGCAGGCCUAACACAUGCAAGUCGAACGAGUGGCGGACGGGUGUGUAAUGUCUGUGAAACUGCCCGCUGGAGGGGGGUAACUACUGGAAACGGUAUCUAAUACCGCCUACCCUCUGAUGUGUCCAGAUGGGAUUAGCUAGUAGGUGGGGUAACGGCUCACCUAGGCGACGAGCCCUAGCUGGUCUGAGUGGAUGACCAGCCACACGGGAACUGAGAAACGGUCCAGACUCCUACGGGAGGCAGCAGUGGGGAAUAUUGCACAAUGGGCGCAAGCCUGAUGCAGCCAUGCCGCAUGUAUGAAGAAGGCCUUCGGGUUGUAAAGUACUUUCAGCGAGGAGGCGUUACUCGCAGAAGAAGCACCGGCUAACUCCGUGCCAGCAGCCGCGGUAAUAC